GCCUAAAACAAAAAGUCGAGCGGACAGAUGGGAGCUUGCUCCCUGAUGUUAGCGGCGGACGGGUGAGUAACACGUGGGUAACCUGCCUGUAAGACUGGGAUAACUCCGGGAAACCGGGGCUAAUACCGGAUGCUUGUUUGAACCGCAUGGUUCAAACAUAAAAGGUGGCUUCGGCUACCACUUACAGAUGGACCCGCGGCGCAUUAGCUAGUUGGUGAGGUAACGGCUCACCAAGGCAACGAUGCGUAGCCGACCUGAGAGGGUGAUCGGCCACACUGGGACUGAGACACGGCCCAGACUCCUACGGGAGGCAGCAGUAGGGAAUCUUCCGCAAUGGACGAAAGUCUGACGGAGCAACGCCGCGUGAGUGAUGAAGGUUUUCGGAUCGUAAAGCUCUGUUGUUAGGGAAGAACAAGUACCGUUCGAAUAGGGCGGUACCUUGACGGUACCUAACCAGAAAGCCACGGCUAACUACGUGCCAGCAGCCGCGGUAAUACGUAGGUGGCAAGCGUUGUCCGGAAUUAUUGGGCGUAAAGGGCUCGCAGGCGGUUUCUUAAGUCUGAUGUGAAAGCCCCCGGCUCAACCGGGGAGGGUCAUUGGAAACUGGGGAACUUGAGUGCAGAAGAGGAGAGUGGAAUUCCACGUGUAGCGGUGAAAUGCGUAGAGAUGUGGAGGAACACCAGUGGCGAAGGCGACUCUCUGGUCUGUAACUGACGCUGAGGAGCGAAAGCGUGUGGAGCGAACAGGAUUAGAUACCCUGGUAGUCCACGCCGUAAACGAUGAGUGCUAAGUGUUAGGGGGUUUCCGCCCCUUAGUGCUGCAGCUAACGCAUUAAGCACUCCGCCUGGGGAGUACGGUCGCAAGACUGAAACUCAAAGGAAUUGACGGGGGCCCGCACAAGCGGUGGAGCAUGUGGUUUAAUUCGAAGCAACGCGAAGAACCUUACCAGGUCUUGACAUCCUCUGACAAUCCUAGAGAUAGGACGUCCCCUUCGGGGGCAGAGUGACAGGUGGUGCAUGGUUGUCGUCAGCUCGUGUCGUGAGAUGUUGGGUUAAGUCCCGCAACGAGCGCAACCCUUGAUCUUAGUUGCCAGCAUUCAGUUGGGCACUCUAAGGUGACUGCCGGUGACAAACCGGAGGAAGGUGGGGAUGACGUCAAAUCAUCAUGCCCCUUAUGACCUGGGCUACACACGUGCUACAAUGGACAGAACAAAGGGCAGCGAAACCGCGAGGUUAAGCCAAUCCCACAAAUCUGUUCUCAGUUCGGAUCGCAGUCUGCAACUCGACUGCGUGAAGCUGGAAUCGCUAGUAAUCGCGGAUCAGCAUGCCGCGGUAAUACUUCCC
rnacentral:rRNA from 2 species